UCCGGUCACGUGCUUCUGUCCUGUCAAGUAUGGAAGACUUGUGAUUUUGUUGUCUGAUAGCUAAACAACAUGUCACAGUCUUUCCUCACCGUGCAGUGACUCCAACGCCCUCGCGUGG
rnacentral:pre_miRNA from 10 species